CCUACUCUGUCCAACCAAACAGCUAAUGGGCCAUCCACCGCACUUCGCCCCACAAACGCCCCACACGACGUGCGAUUGACACCUGUCCAGUCGCACGCGGUGGGGCAUUCUCGCGUGUGACGUUAACGUGAUGGACGUAGCCCUGUCCGUUAGCCCCAAAACCAAUUCAAAGGUGCUGGAGCGCGCCCCCUGAAGCUCAUUUCCCAUAUUCGCGCCCCUCUGAAGCUCAAAUCGGAGGAGAGGCUCUGACCCCCGUUCUCUGCCCGAUCUCGGAUCUCCGCUCCCAUUUCCGGUACCGGCGAACUCUUCGGUUACCAGGUGUUGGAGUGUUUUUCAUUUCAAGAAACCAAUACUCUAUGAAGAAAAAACUAAGGAGUGAUGCCCCUGCAUGUCUUUACUGUGUCUUUGUGCGCACACAACUUUGGAAACUAUAAGAGAAAAGACAAUAAGUCGAAACAGAUGGGAUCAUGGGGGGCCUGAUUGGAGUGGACUGUACCAGCAUGGAGACUGCUUUUUGGCUCAUCAAAGACUAGCUAUUAUUGAUCCUUCUUCAGGGGACCAGCCUCUGUUUAACUAAGACAGGAAGAUAGUUGUAAUGCCCUGCUUUAGGCUAGUUAGUUGGACAAUACCAUAAACCUGUGUUUAAUAUAUUAAUAUACCCUUGAAAGCUAAAGAGGAGAGAGAGAGAGAGAGAGAGAGUUCAUAGCCAUAGCCAAACAACAUUUGUACCAAAGCAUACAAAUUAAUAAUAAAGUGUUUGAAAAUUCAGCUUUC